GGGGCCCCUAGAGGCACUGCAGGUGUGGCUGAUGUAUCACAUAUAUAUCAGUAGGUGGCAGAGAGGAGAGAAGCUGUGUCGACACUCAGUGUUCUGACCUAUGAACAUCUGAAGGAUUAGUAGCCUAAAAUU